GCCAGCAUUGUAUAGUGGUUUGAAUGUUGGACUAUCACUCUGGAGACUGGAGUUCAAUUCUCUGCUUGGCC